NUCUUGGGAGGCAAGUCUGGUGCCAGCAGCCGCGGUUAUUCCAGCUCCAAUAGCGUAUAUUAAAGUUGUUGCAGUUAAAAAGCUCGUAGUUGAAUUUCGGGACUAAUAUGUCGGUCGUACUUUGUACGUACUAGCAUUAUUGGUUUCUCCCUUCUGACGAACCACGAUGUCAUUAAUUUGGUGUCGCGGGAAAUCAGGACUGUUACUUUGAAAAAAUUAGAGUGUUUAAAGCAAGCUCGCGCUUGAAUACAUUAGCAUGGAAUAAUGAAAUAGGACGUUUGAUUCUAUUUUGUUGGUUUCUAGGAUCGACGUAAUGAUUAAUAGGGAUAGUUGGGGGCAUUAGUAUUCAAUUGUCAGAGGUGAAAUUCUUGGAUUUAUUGAAGACUAACUACUGCGAAAGCAUUUGCCAAGGAUGUUUUCAUUAAUCAAGAACGAAAGUUAGGGGAUCGAAGACGAUCAGAUACCGUCGUAGUCUUAACCAUAAACUAUGCCGACUAGGGAUCGGAUGAU
rnacentral:rRNA from 1 species